AGCACUGAUAAUACGACAAAUUUGAUGGGAUACUUGCGCAACUUGCAUAAGGCGCAAUUGAUUGCAAACAGUGGCGAAAUGACUGACGCUAGCCAAAGAGAGCUAGAUUUCGCGCCAUCUACAUCAAAGGUCUGGUGAGAAUGUUUCCAAAAAAAAAAAAAAAAAACAAAUAGCAUUGAUAUCGAUGACCUCUUUCCACCGAAACUAAAAUAAAAAUAGUAAUUGUAUUUUGCAUAUAAUUUCCAAGACAAUCAAUCCAUGUGUAUCGUGGAAGACGAAGGUUUUAAAUGUCUACAUAUAGAACUCACACCGCUUUACAAGAUACCUUCUAUAAAAAAAAUUAGCAAUUUUAUUCUGCAUAGGAUUUGCAAAGACAAUCAACCCAUGCGUAUCGUGGAAGACGGAGAUUUUCACUUGAUGGUUGGAUCAGAAAUGUGAAGGCUUAUCCAACAUUGUUAAAGAGGAAAUUUCAGAAAAGAGCAAUUCACAUUAAUAACGGUUAGUUGCAAAAUCAUCAUAAUUCCAACAAUUAGAAAGACUUUUUAAAAUAAAGCCCUUGUUAGAUAGUUCAAACAAAGUUGUGUGGCAAGUAAUGAAUUGCGGGCAGAGGCCAACAAUUAAAAAAAAAAUGCUAGAAAGAUUUAUGGAAAUGCGUACUUCGAUUCAUGCAGUAGUAAAUAAACACGUAACUGCUCCAGAUAUUCCUACCGCAUAUGAUUUAAAUACAGUUGGUGACAUUAUUUCCGUUCUCCGUCCAUUAGAAGCUGCUACAAAGGAGGUCUCUGGAGACACAUACGCAACAAGUAGUAUAUCAUUCCUCUAAUUCACUGUCUCA